GAUGAACGCUGGCGGCGUGCUUAACACAUGCAAGUCGAACGGAAAGGCCCUGCUUUUGUGGUGUGCUCGAGUGGCGAACGGGUGAGUAACACGUGAGUAACCUGCCCUUGACUUUGGGAUAACUUCAGGAAACUGGGGCUAAUACCGGAUAGGAGCUCCUGCUGCAUGGUGGGCGUUGGAAAGUUUCGGCGGUUGGGGAUGGACUCGCGGCUUAUCAGCUUGUUGGUGGGGUAGUUGCUGACCAAGGCUUUGACGGGUAGCCGGCCUGAGAGGGUGACCGGCCACAUUGGGACUGAGGUACGGCCCAGACUGCUACGGGAGGCAGCAGUGGGGAAUAUUGCACAAUGGGCGGAAGCCUGAUGCAGCAACGCCGCGUGCGGGAUGACGGCCUUCGGGUUGUAAACCGCUUUCGCCUGUGACGAAGCGUGAGUGACGGUAAUGGGUAAAGAAGCACCGGCUAACUACGUG
rnacentral:rRNA from 1 species